rnacentral:miRNA from 1 species
UGACUCUCUUAAGGAAGCCA